rnacentral:rRNA from 1 species
GAUGAACGCUGGCGGCGUGCCUAAUACAUGCAAGUCGAGCGAACGGACGAGAAGCUUGCUUCUCUGAUGUUAGCGGCGGACGGGUGAGUAACACGUGGAUAACCUACCUAUAAGACUGGGAUAACUUCGGGAAACCGGAGCUAAUACCGGAUGAUAUUUUGAACCGCAUGGUUCAAAAGUGAAAGACGGUCUUGCUGUCACUUAUAGAUUGAUCCGCGCUGCAUUAGCUAGUUGGUAAGGUAACGGCUUACCAAGGCAACGAUGCAUAGCCGACCUGAGAGGGUGAUCGGCCACACGGGAACUGAGAAACGGUCCAGACUCCUACGGGAGGCAGCAGUAGGGAAUCUUCCGCAAUGGGCGAAAGCCUGACGGAGCAACGCCGCGUGAGUGAUGAAGGUCUUCGGAUCGUAAAACUCUGUUAGUAGGGAAGAACAUAUGUGUAAGUAACUGUGCACAUCUUGACGGUACCUAAUCAGAAAGCCACGGCUAACUACGUG